GCGACACGCCCCCCUGAGGGGGCUGAUCUUAGACCUCACUCAUGUGGAUGACAGCUGGACUUCGGUGUGACAGAGACAGUAAAGAAUGAAGAGGAAGGGAACCACCAGCAGCUUUUCCCAGCCUAAAAGAAGAGAGGAGGAAGAACAUCCCAGAGAGGAGAUGGAGGAGGAAGAGUUCAGAGAGAGAAAGAAAUGAAGGCAUGCAGAGCUCAGACAGUGAAAGAUCUGCCCCUGCUCUGGCAUCACCAGUACCUUAAAUCCAGGAAGUGCUCGGCGGCUCGGUUUCCAAACACCUGGAUGGAGGGUCAGAACGAAGGGACAAAGAAAAUG